GAUGAGGAACGUAGCGAAAUGCGAUACGUAAUGUGAAUUGCAAAUUCAGUGAAUCAUCGAGUCUUUGAACGCACAUUGCGCCCCCUGGUAUUCCGGGGGGCAUGCCUGUCCGAGCGUCAUUGCUGCCCUCAAGCACGGCUUGUGUGUUGGGCCCCGUCCUCCGAUCCCGGGGGACGGGCCCGAAAGGCAGCGGCGGCACCGCGUCCGGUCCUCGAGCGUAUGGGGCUUUGUCACCCGCUCUGUAGGCCCGGCCGGCGCUUGCCGAUCAACCCAAAUUUUUAUCCAGGUUGACCUCGGAUCAGGUAGGGAUACCCGCUGAACUUAAGCAUAUCAAUAAGCGGAGGA
rnacentral:misc_RNA from 1 species